AGUGAACGCUGGCGGUAGGCCUAACACAUGCAAGUCGAACGGCAGCACAGGAGAGCUUGCUCUCUGGGUGGCGAGUGGCGGACGGGUGAGGAAUACAUCGGAAUCUACUUUUUCGUGGGGGAUAACGUAGGGAAACUUACGCUAAUACCGCAUACGACCUACGGGUGAAAGCAGGGGACCUUCGGGCCUUGCGCGAUUGAAUGAGCCGAUGUCGGAUUAGCUAGUUGGCGGGGUAAAGGCCCACCAAGGCGACGAUCCGUAGCUGGUCUGAGAGGAUGAUCAGCCACACGGGAACUGAGACACGGUCCAGACUCCUACGGGAGGCAGCAGUGGGGAAUAUUGGACAAUGGGCGCAAGCCUUAUCCAGCCAUACCGCGUGGGUGAAGAAGGCCUUCGGGUUGUAAAGCCCUUUUGUUGGGAAAGAAAUCCAGCUGGCUAAUACCCGGUUGGGAUGACGGUACCCAAAGAAUAAGCACCGGCUAACUUCGUGCCAGCCGCCGUAAUAC
rnacentral:rRNA from 1 species